CUGCGAGUGAAGCGGCAAAAGCUCAAAUUUGAAAUCUGUCGUCUUUUAGGCGUCCGAGUUGUAAUUUGGAGGAGCGUCUUCGGGGGUGGCACCGUUCUAAGUUCCGUGGAAUCGGACGUCACAGAGGGUGAGAAUCCCGUGCCUGGGCGGUUGCCCACUCCCAUGUGAAGUGCUUCCGACGAGUCGAGUUGUUUGGGAAUGCAGCUCAAAAUGGGUGGUAAAUUUCAUCUAAAGCUAAAUACUGGCGAGAGACCGAUAGCGCACAAGUAGAGUGAUCGAAAGAUGAAAAGCACUUUGAAAAGAGAGUUAAAAAGUACGUGAAAUUGUUGAAAGGGAAGCGCUUGAGAUCAAACUCGAUCUUUGGUGAAGCUGCGAGCUCGCUCGAAGCCGCUCGCCAUUGACCGGGCCAGCAUCGGUUUUGACGGUGGGAUAAACGACAGGGAAAUGUAGCUCUCUUCGGGGAGUGUUAUAGACCCUGCCAUAAUACCGUCAGUCGAGACCGAGGACCGCGCUUCGGCUAGGAUGCUGGCGUAAUGGUCUUAAGCGACCCG
rnacentral:rRNA from 1 species